GGCUGUAGCUCUGUGGCAGAGCAUCUGCUUUGCAUGCAGAAGGCCCCAGGUUCAAUCCCCAGCAUCGCCA
rnacentral:tRNA from 1 species